GGAUCGUUAGCUCAGUUGGUUAGAGUAGUCGGCUCAUAACCGAUCGGUCAUAGGUUCAAGUCCUAUACGAUCCA
rnacentral:tRNA from 1 species